rnacentral:tRNA from 1 species
GCCGGUGUGGCGAAACUGGUAGACGCACGGGACUCAAAAUCCCGCGGCCGCGAGGUCGUGUCAGUUCGAGUCUGACCACCGGCACCA